AAUAAGGUGAGUACUGACUGCCUGACACUAUAGACUGGAAAAUGAUUUUUUUAACAAGAAAAGUCGGUGAUUUUUUGUUUUUACACUAACCGCAAAAUCUCUUUUAGUUUCAAAACAUGUAACAGCGCUAAAAACUGACAUUCCACUGAUUCCACUGAUGUUGUGCCUCGCUGUGAACAAUGUAAAGCUGUUGUAAAGCCAGAUGCAGUAUUUUUUGGCAAAUCGCUUCCUGAACGCUUUCGAUUGGUGGAAGAAGAUUUUCCGAAUUGUGAUCUACUGAUUAUAUUAGGAACUUCACUAGUUGUUCAGCCCUUUGCAUCUCUUGUCGAUCGUGUUCCGCCUAGAUGCCCGCGUCUUCUGAUAAAUUUCGAGGAAGCGGGAAAUGAAGACCCUGUUAUGGUUGUUCUUGGUUUCAGUUGUGGGUUGCAGUUUCAUGGAGCUGACAAUUUCCGUGACGUUGCUUGGCUUGGUGAUUGUGACGAAGGAUGCUUUCUAUUUGCAGAAAAACUUGGUUGGAAGGAUGAACUAAAUUCAUUGAUUGAAAAUGGAUGUGAAAGCGAAGAUUCGGUAGAAACAGGUGCUACUGAAAGUACCUAAUAAUAGACGCGGCAUUAAUAGUCUCGUAACAAAAGACUUAUAAACGUCUCGUGAAAGUAUCAAAUUUGUUUUGUGUUGAAUAUGCUUACGACUUACUUGCGAGAAUCUCACGCCCUUAAAAUGAGUAGUUAAAAUUGAAAAUUCCAAUGCUUUUUCAGAGUGAACAAAAUAAAAUGAAUUAAAAAUU